GGUAAGUUUGUUAAAUUUCACAAUGAACACUUGUGUUUUGACAAAAGAAGAGAUAAAGUGAGUUUUGUCAUCAUCAUGGUUUCUUUCAGAGUAUAACUCGUGAACAGAUGAAAACCUAUUUUUUGCUAGAUUUUCAUGUACUCUUUUUUUGGAUGAUAAGUAUGUCAGUAACUCAAAAUCAUACGGCUAGUACAGUAUGGAACAUGAAUGCUUUGUUCAGAUUUUCAGAUGUGUGCUGGCAGUUUAAGUCUGGCAGCUGAAGUGAACAGUCGUGUUUUCUGGAGCUCCAACAAUAUGCUAGAAGGAGUGCUUAUCCAGUGAUGAUAUGACAGUUGGAGUGAACAGUGGAGCCAAGCAGUCUUGUUUUUGGAGCUACUCAACAAGCCUUGAAGAUGCUGAUGGCAGUGAUGGGUUUUCAAGCUGACCUGAACAGAAAAGCACUCAUAUGGUAAGUACAAAAUAGUUGUUAUAUGGGAUGUUUUGUGCAUGCUUUUAUGUUUCAGGUGUACUUGCUGACAGCGACGAAGACGAAUCAAGAAGAGGAACAUUGUUGAGAAAGUGAUUGGGACUUGCAAACAGGAUUCGAGUCACUGGUUUACACAUGGAAGAAGAUUUCCACGUCUGUUACUCAACUCUACAGAAGCAAGGUAAGUCGAUCAAAUUUUUGUUUUCAUUUGUACUGCUGUAAUGUGAUGGUAAACUUAUGCUAUUUUUCAUGUGUGUCAUGUACAGAUGGAUAAUUCAAGUUUGAUCUGUGUUGGUUUAUGUUCAAAAACGUUUUACAUGUAUGUGUGUUUGAAGAUGUUUUGUUUCAGUGGAUGUCCAGAUGGCAAGCAGUACAGACGUGUUUCUUGGAGCUGCCAAACAGUGAGUACAAACGUUUUAUAUUUUUCAGUUGUUUACUCAUAGAAGUCUGUGAAAGAUGAUAACAAGGGUUGAAUCUAUCAGCACUUGUGUCUAAAAAUGCUGAUGUGUGACGGUUUACUGAAAAGGGUAAAUGCUAGCCAGUACUUACACUUGAGCAACCGUGGGAUGUCGAACUAACUGAUGAUGUACUAUGAUGGUGAACACUUACUAUGUGUAUCAAAAUGCUUUUGUUGAUAUUUACUAUAGAUGAUUUGAUAUUGGUUAACAUUUGUUUGCAUGCUGUUAACAUUUCUAUUUCAUUUCAGUGAGCUGUGGUGAGUAUUGUAGUAUACAUUUGUUUCAAUAAAUCAUGGUGAUUGUUUUUUACAGUUUUAGGGAUUAUCACUCUAUAACAACUCUGUCGGUUGGUGUUCAUGAGUCUGAGCCUAAUACCGCAAUGUUUGAGUAGUACAAAAAUGUUUUCGCUUUUGUGGUCGCCAGCUGUCCGUGAUCUGUAAAGUGAAAAAUACACAGAGCUAUGAAGCAUACAAUUGUUUCGAAAUUUUAUCAAUGAUUGUAUACUAUGCAUGUUUUGAUUUAGUUCGUUUCAGAUAUGACAUGACAUGAAGAGUUGACAGUCGAACAGAGCUGAGCAAUGCAGAAAGGUAAGUGUGUUUCAUUUUAGUAUGAACACUUGUAUUUUGUUUUUAUAUGGUAUGUUUUGUGCAUGCUAUGUUUCAGGUGUACUUGUAGUCAGCGACGAAGACGAUUCAAGAAGAGGAACAUUGCUGAGAAAGUGAAUGGGACUUGCAAACAGGGUAAGUGUUACAAUUGUUUGUUUGAUUUUUACCAUGCAUACUUUGCUUUGCUCUGUUUCAGAUUUCACAUGCAGAAAUGGUCUCAUAGCAGUGCCAACAGUGAAUAAGGAUUUCAGCUGCUGUGAAACAACUCAACAGAAAGUAGGUAAGCAUUGAAUGAAUGCACUUGAGUUGUACAAUUUGAUGUGAUGCUUUUCUCUGUUUCAGAUUCAAGUUCCUGGUGUAGACAGAGAAAUGUGUUUGAAGAAGGAAUUCUACUACUGUGAUUCAACUCUACAGAAGCAAGGUAAGUAGAAACACAAUUUUGGUUUAAUUUAACUCAUGUGUUUUGCACUGCAUGCUAUUUUUCAGGUCUCUCAUGCAGUGAUGCAAAAGAAGAAGAUUUCAAGAAAGAAUCACUGCUGCAACUCAGGCCUAUAACAAGGUAAGUGUUUACUAUAUUGUAUACAAAAUGUUUCUCUGUUUUACUCUGUUUGAAGGUUUCAAUUGCAGAGAUGUUGCAGAGAUGUUUUGACAGCUUGUGACAGAAAAGAAAUUCAGCAGCUGUGUAUCGACUGUAGCCACGAGGUAAGUCAAAACAAAUAUACUGGUUUGUAUGUUAUGUUGUUAUGCCCUUCUAUGUUUCAGACUUACAUUGCUGUGACUGUUCCACAGUGGGUCAAAAAAGAGACGAAUACAGGUUUCAAGAAGAAAAUUGGCUGUUGAAAACCUGCACAAAAUAUGAGUAUCCUGUGGUAAGUACACUAACUUUCUAUAAUUUCAUAUUGAAAUGUUUUGAUGACUUGUAUACUACUAUGCAAUGCUUAAUGUUUUUUUUCAUUUCAGUAGCCUAUUGGUAAGUACACUAACUUUCUAUAAUUUCAUAGUGAACUGUUUUGAUGACCUGUAUUCUGCAUUGUAAAAUGUGUUUCUUUUUCAUUUCAGUAUGGCUGUGGUAAGUACACUAACUUUCUAUAAUUUCAUAUUGAACUGUUUUGAUGACUUGUAUUCUGCAUUGUAAAAUGUCUGUUUUUCAUUUCAGUAUCCUGUGGUAAGUAUACUAACUUUCUAUAAUUUCAUAUUGAACUGUUUCGAUGAUUUGUAUACUGCUAUGCAUUGCUAAAUGUUUUUUUCAUUUCAGUAUAGCUGUGGUAAGUACACUAACUUUCUUUAAUUUUCAUAUUGAACUGUUUUGAUGACUUGUAUUCUGCUAUACAAAAUGUGCUUUUUUCAAUUUCAGGUCAGCAAUGGUAAGUAUAGUGUGUUUCUUUAUGUAUAAUUUUGUAUACAUAUUGUUUUUUUUCAUCAUAUCAUGUCUUUCAUAUUUAUGCUUUGUGUAAGUAAAAUGUUCAUAAAUCAUUCUUAUCUUCAAACUAAAAAUGUAUUGUGCUAUGCAAAAUGUCUGUAUGAUUUCAGUUGCCAGAGGUGAGUACCAUAACAGUUGAAAAGUUAGUUUUGUUUAGUUAAAGUUUUGGUUCACAGUUUUGUUUGUUAUUUGGCAAAAUUUACAUGUAUGCAUUGAGUCUUGAUUUCAGCUAGAUUGUGGACUGAAGAAGAUUGCCAGCAGAGGGAUUGGAUACAAGAUACAAACUUUACUGCUUGACGAGUGUUAUCAACUACUAGACGAGUCAGCUUUACUACCAGGCGAGCAGUGACAACAAGGCGCCUUUGUGGAAACAACACAACAAAAAACUCUACUGCAAGACGAGCAGUGACAGCAAGGCGCCUGAACAUGCAACACAAUACAAAAAAUGCCAAUUUGCAAACCUUGAUGUGGACACCGAGUAGUCAAUACAUACGUGUGGCGUAUAGCUGCGACAAAACCGUGGGUCCAUCGCACCGAUAACUUGAACAUUGGCCCGUGUAUGGACAUCAGUGCAACUUUGUGAAUCCAUGUAUCUUUGUGAAUCCAUGUAACAUUGCGAAUGUGUGUCGAUCGAAAAAUGUGUACAUUCUGAACUGAAACGAACUCGGUGUUGCAAGUGGCAAGUGUUGACAGUGUGUAUGUUUAUGUUUAUGUUUUUACAUGAAAACUAAAGGAGAUUGUUCUCCUACCUUUUUUUUCCUUGUUUUAUUGCGCUGGCCAGCAAUAUUGAUGUAUUGAUGUAUGUGUUUGUGUUUAAACUAUGCAAUACCAAAAUCAAACAAAAAAUAAACAUUAACAGUCAUUAACUGUG